rnacentral:rRNA from 1 species
GACAUAGGUGGCGAACGUUAUCCGGAAUUAUUGGGCGUAAAGGGAGCGUAGGCGGACUGUUAAGUUAGAGGUGAAAGCCCAGGGCUCAACCUUGGAAUUGCCUUUGAUACUGGCAGUCUUGAGUACGGAAGAGGUAUGUGGAACUCCGAGUGUAGAGGUGAAAUUCGUAGAUAUUCGGAAGAACACCAGUGGCGAAGGCGACAUACUGGUCCGUUACUGACGCUGAGGCUCGAAAGCGUGGGGAGCAAACAGG